rnacentral:rRNA from 1 species
AGAGUAUGAUCCUGGCUCAGAUUGAACGCUGGCGGCAGGCCUAACACAUGCAAGUCGAGCGGUAGAGAAGGAGCUUGCUUCUUCUUGAGAGCGGCGGACGGGUGAGUAAUGCCUAGGAAUCUGCCUGGUAGUGGGGGACAACGUUUCGAAAGGAACGCUAAUACCGCAUACGUCCUACGGGAGAAAGUGGGGGAUCUUCGGACCUCACGCUAUCAGAUGAGCCUAGGUCGGAUUAGCUUGUAGGUGAGGUAAUGGCUCACCUAGGCAACGAUCCGUAACUGGUCUGAGAGGAUGAUCAGUCACACUGGAACUGAGACACGGUCCAGACUCCUACGGGAGGCAGCAGUGGGGAAUAUUGGACAAUGGGCGAAAGCCUGAUCCAGCCAUGCCGCGUGUGUGAAGAAGGUCUUCGGAUUGUAAAGCACUUUAAGUUGGGAGGAAGGGUUGUAGCUUAAUACGCUGCAACUUUGACGUUACCAACAGAAUAAGCACCGGCUAACUCUGUGCCAGCAGCCGCGGUAAUACAGAGGGUGCAAGCGUUAAUCGGAAUUACUGGGCGUAAAGCGCGCGUAGGCGGCUUGAUAAGAUGGGUGUGAAAUC